rnacentral:lncRNA from 1 species
CUCAGCUGCUUUUCCUUCAGCCUGAGGGCUGGCUCUGGAAGGCAUCAUGAGCCCGAACCCCAUUCAAAAGAGGGGAGUAUUUACAGCAAAUUUUUCCCUGUCCUGUGGCCUAGCCUCUAGGCAGUAGGACUCUGGAGAAGAAAUUUGUUAGGCUCCUUGCUCCUCUUGCCACACUCAGAGUGGCCAGAUUCCAUUAUUUCGCAGCACAGGGGAAAAAACAGAAAUUCCAACUCAAGGUGACUUAAACCAGAAGGAAAUUACUGUCUCAAAUAACAGGUGGUCCAGAAUUCUGGGUGUUCUCUAGGAAGGUCCUGGAGCUCAACUAUGUCAUCAGGGAUGAGAUUCUUUCCCUCUGCUUUGUAUAGCACCAGCCUCAAACCAAAACUGGUUCCCUUCAAAGUUGUAAGGGAGCUGAAAUUGAGUCAUAGUUCAGUGAUCUGCAGCUCAGCCAACAUAUUUCCCCAAAAGUGAGUUUUCUCUAACUAGCUUCAUUCAAAUCAUUCACCCAACAGGCACAAGGGACAGCAUUCCCAGCACCAGAGAUGGGAAGGUCAUUGUACAUUUGGAGAUCUUUGAAUUUGUUGAAGCAGCAGAAGAAAAUAUUCACGCUUGUACUUUUCCACUUAAAUGAGACGCAAGCCCAGUUCCUCAAGGAUUCCAGGGAGCCCAGAAGAGUGAAGUCAUCUCCCGUCUUGGGAUACAGCAGGCACAUCAUAGCUCUAGUUUCAUUCCCAGGAUCUGGGAAUUCAGAAGGACCUUAACCAUCCCAUCUGACUCUCCUUGGGCAAGAGAAAAAGGUGUGCAAACAGACUAUCAACAACACUAGGGAGCCUCCGAUGGUGCUGCAGACACAAAUGUUGGAUCUGUAGGGGACCAAGACUUUAUCUGCCUUCUGUCCGAUGGCUGCCCUGAAACCACAGCUAGAACAAAGCCCACGUUCAUUAGGGUGUAUUUUGGGAGGAAAGCAAAUUGGCA